GGAAAACUGUCUUCUGUGAAACCAGUCCCUGGUACCAAAAGGGUUGGGGACUUCUGUCCUAGAUGGUGUCGCUGCUGGGAGAGGCCUCUGGCCCUUGGAGAGGUGUCUCAGUCCUCUCUGAUAGUUCUCUAAAAGAGUGCUUCCCAAAUUUUAAUAGGCCUGCAGAUCACCCAAGGAUCUUGUUAAAAUGCAGUUCUGCCUUUCUGAUGAAUUCACAGAUAACGCCAGUGCUGCCUGGAUCAGCUGCGCAUUGAAGAAAACUCCAAAACAAAGCUGCCAAGUAAACACCAGGAGGACACACUAGAAACAUGUUGGCUGGGCCAGAAACAUAUAGAAUUCUUCAACUGUAGCAUCACUUCCAUGCAACUUGUUUUUAAAUUCUACCUUUGAGACCCUUCCUGGUCAGCUCUGUAUUUAUUAGGAAAGUGAAGUCAGAGUUCUACUCUUUGGUAAUAUUAUCACUCCUAAACUGCUUGUGUGUGACCUGUGGACAGAAUGCAAGCAUUCUUGACCUGGAUAUUGUCAUCUUUACAGGAACCAUUCAAUGACAGAUUUUACAAGAAAGUCCUAUUUUCUGAUCUGUCUUGAAGCUCCAUGUAGAAGGAAAUCUCCCAUCAUCCCUCACACGAAUCCCUUCAACCAAUCAUCUGCUGGUUCUCUUCAUGGUAAUUCAAGUCCUUUCUUUGUAUCUUCUGGCUUCUCCACACUGUUGCUGCCUUCAGAUCCACCCAGAGAUAGGACAGAGUCACCCAGGCUCAGCUAAGAUCCUGCUGUUGUGUUUAACUACACUUUACGACACAUGAUGGACGCAGAAAGGAAUGACAACGGAUGAAGAACAAGCAAAGAACAGGAGACUUCUUAGGACUUCUUCUAAAGUGUGCUGGCCACAUCCUUCUAUGGGGGUAGCUGGGAUGUGGCCACAGGGACAGAAUCGGGUGGGCAGGGGAGGCAACAUGGUAGACAAACACAGUGCAGAGAGCACUCGGCACCCUUGAACGAAAGUGCCUUUGGUCUUGAGCUUCCUGCCUGGAGUUCAGUCGCCCCAAAGUCUUCCGAGUCCAGCAAGAGACAGAUCUAGUUUCUCUCAUCUGCCACUCCUCACCUCCAGCUCAGAGCUAGCCUCCAGGAAACAUAAUCCUCUUCAGAGAUGUAGUAGGGUUUGGAAUGCAGACGACCUUUUUCAUUGUUAUGUGGAACUGCUUGCUUCCUCACUAUUUUGAAUGUCCCAUUGUAGAAUAAUAUUCUUUUUGGCUGUAUCAUUACCACCAGUGGAUUACCACCACUUUAUCAAAAUCCACCAGGGUACCUUGUUCCUCCUAAAUCAAAAGCAAUCUGACAUGUGGUUCAAGUUAAGCUUCCAUUUGGAGAACUUGAUAAAAUGUUCACAGUUCUAAAAUAGUGGUGUUUCUUGGCUCUCUGCUCCCAAUCACCUCUGAGUACCCUAUCGAGGUUUUUUUCUUUGUUUG
rnacentral:lncRNA from 1 species